rnacentral:lncRNA from 1 species
CACCCACCUUUAGAGAUGAGACACAAGCAGGAGAAGAGGGAUUAAACCUGCUAGUUUUGGAAAAAAAAAAAAAAAGGAAAGAAAAGAAAAGAAAGAAAGAAAAACAAAAAACAACAACAAACAGAAAAAUGCAAAACUGCAGAACACGCAGUGGAGGUUGGAUUCAGAGGACAUGGGGAUCAGUGUGGGCUGUGCUGGUCAAGGAGGGCUUCCAGGGAGAGGCAACUGAGGAUUCACUGCAAUUGUUCCUUGAGAAGAUGAGGAUCAGGUCGGGAAUUGGAAACAUCUGAGGGCUCAAUUCAACCUGGCUUCUAAAACGAACAUGGUGAACAUAGAUCAACUACUGAACUUCUUUUAACCUCUGGCAUCCUAUCUGUGAAUUACUCAGCGUGUACUCUUUGUUCUGCUUAAGCUUGUGCGUCAUGUGGCAGGCACCUGGCCAAC